rnacentral:rRNA from 1 species
GACGAACGCUGGCGGCGUGCCUAAUACAUGCAAGUAGAACGCUGAAGAGAGGAGCUUGCUCUUCUUGGAUGAGUUGCGAACGGGUGAGUAACGCGUAGGUAACCUGCCUGGUAGCGGGGGAUAACUAUUGGAAACGAUAGCUAAUACCGCAUAAAAUUGAUUAUUGCAUGAUAAUUAAUUGAAAGAUGCAACUGCAUCACUACCAGAUGGACCUGCGUUGUAUUAGCUAGUUGGUGAGGUAACGGCCCACCAAGGCGACGAUACAUAGCCGACCGGAGAGGGUGGUCGGCCACACUGGGACUGAGACCCGGCCCAGACUCCUACGGGGAGGAGCAGGAGGGGAUCUUCGGAAAUGGGGGGAACCCUGACCGAGCAACGCCGGGUGGGGGAAGAAGGGUUUCGGAUCGUAAAGCUCGGUUGUAAGAGAAGAACGGGUGGGAGGGUGGAAAGUUCACACUGUGACGGUAUCUUAACAGAAAGGGACGGCUAACUACGUG